rnacentral:rRNA from 1 species
CCUACGGGUGGCAGCAGUGAGGAAUAUUGGUCAAUGGACGAGAGUCUGAACCAGCCAAGUAGCGUGAAGGAUGCCUGCCCUAUGGGUUGUAAACUUCUUUUAUAUGGGAAUAAAACGUUCCACGUGUGGGAUUUUGUAUGUACCAUAUGAAUAAGGAUCGGCUAACUCCGUGCCAGCAGCCGCGGUAAUACGGAGGAUCCGAGCGUUAUCCGGAUUUAUUGGGUUUAAAGGGAGCGUAGGUGGAUUGUUAAGUCAGUUGUGAAAGUUUGCGGCUCAACCGUAAAAUUGCAGUUGAAACUGGCAGUCUUGAGUACAGUAGAGGUGGGCGGAAUUCGUGGUGUAGCGGUGAAAUGCUUAGAUAUCACGAAGAACUCCGAUUGCGAAGGCAGUUCACUGGACUGCAACUGACACUGAGGCUCGAAAGUGUGGGUAUCAAACAGGAUUAGAUACCCCUGUAGUC